AUGGCCUUCCAAGCUGGACAGUGGCACCUCGGGUUUCGAAGCUCCUUAGGACAAGCCAAGAGUAACAACUGGACUACACUGCGAGCCGUCCUACCACUCAUGCUUCCAGAUUAUCCGGACACGGUAUCCUGGCAGCCCACAACAAUGGCAGAGUUCUCAGUGAGCACGGCAUACCAUGUCCUUUGCCCGCCUCCAACUACUCCCUGACUUUCCCCUCUAUGGAAAGCCCCCAUUCCUUUAAAGAUUAAGAUUUUUGUUUGGUAACUUCUACGGGACCGUCUCCCCUUGAAGACAGAGGUACUUAAGCGGCACGGACUUGGUGAUGGUCUAUGCCCUCUCUGUGUGGUACCUGAGACCGGGACCCAUAUCCUCUUCUCGUGUAUGACAACAAGGGUACUUUGGACGUACGUCCGCGAGGCGUUGGGGCCUGACUGGGAGGCCCAAAAUCUCAUGGACUUUCUCUAGCUUAGGGUUUUAUAGCCUUCACGGCAUUGCCGCCUAUUCUGGCUUAUUUUUGCGGCGAUGUCAUGGACUCUUUGGAUGACUAGGAAUAACAUGGUGAUCAAGAAGGUUUUCCCAAGAGCAUCUGACUCCUUCUUCAAAUUCCUUGCUUUCUUGCAGCACUGGCACCCGCUCUCGAGGCAGCGUGAUUGUGAUCGGCUUGGGCUGAUGAUGGAUGCACUUUUGGCUUUGGCGUGUCGACUAUCCUUCCCGUAG
rnacentral:rRNA from 1 species